AACAAGCUAGAAAUUAAUUGAAUGGUAUGGUAGGUGAAUGGUAUGGUAGGAAGCUAUGUAGUACGGUUGUAGUCAUAGCUACGUGGCACUGGCUUUAUCGUAAAAACUGAAAUUGAUUGAUGGGAUAUUUGAAGAAAUUGUAGAGCUAUGUCACUAUCUUGGGUCCACCUAGUGAUCAAAUGUUUAAAUAUUUUAAUUUAAUCAAUUAAAUCCGGUCACUAAUGUUGGAUGAUGAAGCCAUGCACACAAGUUAAAAAUCUCAUACGCGUCCUCUCCCUCCAGUCCCCCAUAUAUUCCGCGUGUAUUUGAUAGAAGAACAAAAAAUCAAAUGUUUGAUCAGUAGUAAAAGUGGCACUAUCUUUAUUGUGUGUGUUUUGAUAUAACCAAUGACUAUCAUGUAUAUUUUUAAUUAAUUUUUAUUAUCAGAUUUGUUCUGAGAAAUAUCUCUUAAAAAGGUUAUAAGUCAUAUUAGGAAACUAAUAGCAUAAUUUGAAUAUAUUUCAUAUUACAUCUCUAACCGGCAAAGAUAUACAACGAGCACACCAAACACAUAGAUCGAAAUUAGAGAUCAAGGAUUAAAUCGACGAAUCGUAACAAAAAAAGUCAUCACCGUCGAUGUUUUCCAGCAAUGGGUCAAG
rnacentral:lncRNA from 1 species